UAUCAAUUUUUAUUUCUUUUUUUAAAUAGUCAUGUACUUGUAACCAGGAUUAAAACAACUUCAAUUCCUUAGUAUAUUUAUGUUCCUGAUGUCACUGAAAAUUUUGUUUACUAGUUGGAUCCUAUAAUAAACUUACAACUUAUUCAUUAUUACAGUUGCUGCACAAGAAUUCCACACCUGUUGUGUAAUAUGAUCUGAAGUUCAAGUAAUGAGUUGCUGCAGAAGAAUUCAACACCAGUUGUGUAUUAUGGUAUUGGUAUUUAGCUGAAGUUAAGAUCAUGAGUAUUACAGUUGCUGCAGAAGAAUUCCACACCUGUUGUAUAUUAUGAUCUGAAGUUCAAGUCAUGAGUUGCUGCAGAAGAAUUCAACACCUGUUGUGUAUAAUGAUAUUGGUAUUCAACUGAAGUUCAGAUCAUGAGUACUUCUGAUGAAAACACUUGCGUUUUAUGUGGCGUUAGAGACGACAACCCCACUUCAGUUCUUGGCGACAGGGGAUGCCAGAGCAUCAUAGCAGCCAGCAAGAAUAAGGGUCGAACGUUGGUCGUCUCACCUCGACAGCAAGUUCACAAGGAUUGCAGGAGGAUUUACUGCCACCCCAAUCAGAAUCGUCUCAAUAGCAGCAGCAAAGAAACUUUAUAUACAAGUCCAAGUACUAGACAGUCAUUAGAAUUAUCAUUUGACUUUCGAACGAAGUGUUUUUUCUGUGGAACAAAUGCAACACAUAAACAACAUAAACGUAAACGAGGUAGAGAUGUUCACCCUGUUUUAACAUUAGAGUUUUAAAAGUCUAUUAAAGAUGUUUGUU